GGAAGGUGAGGAGGGACUGUGGAAGACGGGAAGGGGAGGAGGGACUGUGGAAGACGGGAAGAUGCUGCCUGACCUGCUGAGUUCCUCCAGCAUUUUGUGUAUGUUGCUCUGGAUAUUCAACAUCUGCAGAAUCUCGUGUCAAUGUCGAGGCAGCUAUCCCUGGCGGAGAGGCACUAUGAUAUUGGGAAUCAGGAGCUUCUUGUGGUUACGUCAGCUUUGGAGGAAUGGCAACACUGGCCAGAGAAUGCUUUUAUCAUUUGAAAGAACCUGACCUACAUUCAGGAGUCCAAGAGGCUGAAUUCCAGAUACUCCACACCUUGGGUCCAAGACAUCCUCGUCAAGGACUCUUGUCACUUCUGUGCUCUGAUUGAUACCAAGAGGAGCCUGCGAAGGAACACAUUCCAUUCUUCAACAGAAAUGUCUUCUUUGAUCAGCACAGAAAUGAAAACCAAUUGAGGCAAUCAUCUAAAGGCCAAUAUGACCAUUACUGAAACUACUGAACACAGUUUGUUAAAUAUGACCAUACUGUCUUUUCCUCCCUCAUCAAAGUGAGAAAUAUUCCUUUGUCGAUGGAUAGUCAUAAAAUGUGGGAUUUACAAUUUCAUUUGUUAAUUCCACUGUCAGAAUUUUAGCAUCAGAUUGUAUUAAAUUUGCUUGGACAGAAAACAGAGCCACUGCUCAGAAUAAAUAUAAAUAACAAAUAA